CCCGGCCGUAGUGGAUCUUGCGGCCCUUCUUCGUGCCGAAGAAGCGGCGCAGCUGCUGCCGGGCGGUGCGGCCCUGCUGGGCGGGC
rnacentral:tRNA from 1 species